CCUACGGGAGGCAGCAGUGAGGAAUAUUGGUCAAUGGACGCAAGUCUGACCCAGCAACGCCGCGUGCAGGAAGACGGCUUUCGGGUUGUAAACUUCUUUUCUCAGGGACGAAGAAAGUGACGGUACCUGAGGAAUAAGCCACGGCUAACUACGUGCCAGCAGCCGCGGUAAUACGUAGGUGGCAAGCGUUAUCCGGAUUUAUUGGGUGUAAAGGGUGCGUAGGUGGGUUGACAAGUCAGUUGUGAAACUCCGGAGCGCAACUUCGGCACUACUACCAAAACUGUUUGACUCGAGUGCAGGAGAGGCAACUGGAAUUUCUAGUGUAGCGGUGGAAUGCGUAGAUAUAAGGAAGAACACCAGUGGCGAAGGCGAGUUGCUGGACUGUAACUGACACUGAGGCACGAAAGCGUGGGGAGCAAACAGGAUUAGAUACCCCAGUAGUC
rnacentral:rRNA from 1 species